AUGGCAACGGGACAAGCUGAACUGAAGAUCUCCACAGGGGGUGGCUCCGGAGGGCAGUUCCAUUCACCCCCGCCCUGCCUACACGGAGCUUGGCUGCUAAUUGAAUGGAAAAAGAAAAAAGAAGAAAAAAAGAAACUAUCUCGAGUUAAACAGGUGCUUGCUGAUAUUGCUAAACAAGUGGACUUCCGUUUUGGAGAUGCAAAUCUUCACAAGGAUAGAUUUCUUCGAGAGCAGAUGGAAAAAUUUAGAGAUAGAUAUGUGGAUAUAUCACUUCUCGUGUCUUUUAACAAAAUGAAAAAAUUGACUACUGAUGGGAAGUUAAUAGCCAGAGCACUGAAAAGCUCAGCUGUUGUAGAGCUGGACUUAGAAGCACCAGAAUCAGGAGAAAAAAAGCCUCUGGGUGAAAGACGAAAGGAUGAAGAUGAGCGCACUGUGAUUAUGGAGUCACUUCCCAAAAAUGUUAACCACAGCUGGCUUGAAAGAGUAUUUGGGAAAUGUGGCAAUGUUGUGUAUAUAAGUCUACCACAUUAUAAGCCUCCUGGAGAUCCAAAGGGAUUUGCCUUUGUGGAAUUUAAAACAAAAGAACAAGCAGCAAAAGCUAUUGAGUUUCUUAACAACCCACCAGAAGAAGCACCAAGAAAACCUGGCAUAUUCCCUAAAACAGUAAAAAAUAAACCCAUUCUGGCUCUAAGGGUAACUGAAGAGAAGAAAAAGAAAAAAAAGAAGAAAGGCCAACUGAAGAAGGAAGACAAUGUUCAGGCCAAAGAGGUAAGCAUGGACACAAGCAACACAAACGCCUAUAAAGUAAAAAGGUCAAGAACCACAUCUGAGGGCAGAAACUACUUAACCCCAAAAGCAAUCAAAAGAAAAAAGAAAAAACAGGAAAGAGGUGAAGUAUCUAGCUUACCUGAAGUCCGAACAGGAAAGAGGAAGAGAAGUAGCUUUGAAGAUGCAGAAUGCCUCGCUCCCAGGUCAAAAGUAAAGAAAAUGACUCAGAAAGAAGUCAUUAAAAAAGAAGCUUCGGAAGUCUCCAAAGAAAGCAGAGACUUAGAAGUCUCUACUGAAGAGGAAAAGAAUACUGGAGAUAUAAAAGAUGGGUCUCUGUUAAAAACAAAAAGGAAACAUAAGAAAAAAACAUAAAGAGAGACAUAAAAUAGGAGAAGAGGUUAUACCAUUAAGAGUACUGUCAAAGAGCGAAUGGAUGGAUUUGAAAAAGGAAUACUUAGCACUGCAAAAAGCUAGCAUGGCUUCUUUAAAAAAAACAAUAUCCCAAAUAAAAUCAGAGUCAGAGAUAGAAAUAGACAAUGGAAUACCUCAUCAGUCUGCAGCAAAAAAUGAAAAAAAGUAAAGCCAACAAUGAAGAAUGUCACUCCCAGGAGAAAGUUAAUGCCACAGGACCUCAGUUUGUGAGUGGAGUGAUUGUGAAGAUCAUUAACACAGAGCCUCUACCUGGCAGAAAACUAGUCCAGGAUACUUUGGCAGCAAUCUCAGAAGUUGUUUAUGUUGAUGUGCUCAAAGGAGAUAUAGAAUGCCAUGCUAGAUUUAAAACACCUGAGGAUGCUCAAGCAGUAAUAAAUUCAUAUGCAGAAAUUAAAAAGAAACACUACUGGAAACUCAAGAUCCUUUCUGGUGAUCACAAACAAAGGUAUUGGCAGAAAAUUUUGGUUGAUAGGCCAAACUUAAUCAGUCUCAGGAAAAGAAAAAAGGGCACUGAAAAGUUAAUCACCAAAGCUGAAAAGAUUAGACUGGAAAAGACUCAACAAGCAAGUAAGCACAUUAGAUUUUCUGAAUAUGUGUUGGGAGCUGGCUCUAUCAUAUUCCAAAUUCCUAGCCUAAUCAUGGUCAUGAUCAAUAAAGACUAUUUGAAGAAAUACCAGAGCAAAGUGAAGAAAGCUGAGAUGUGGUUUUAUUUUCACACAAAUAUAGCAUACCUGGACAAAUGCUCAUCAACUUAUUAA